rnacentral:misc_RNA from 1 species
AACUGAUACUACCUGCGGGAACCUGCGGAGGGAUCAUUACCGAGUUUACAACUCCCAAACCCCUGUGAACUUAUACCUUUACUGUUGCUUCGGCGGGUCAUUGCCCCGGGGAAACAGGUGCCGCCAGGUCCCUGCCCCCCCGGAAACAGGCGCCCGCCGGGGGACUCAAACUCUUCUGUAUUUUUUGUUUACUGUAUACUGUCUGAGUAAAAAUUCAUAAUGAAUCAAAACUUUUAACAA